rnacentral:rRNA from 1 species
CUUCGGUGGGGAUUAGUGGCGAACGGGUGAGUAACACGUGGGCAAUCUGCCCUUCACUCUGGGACAAGCCCUGGAAACGGGGUCUAAUACCGGAUAGGACUUCCAUGGGCAUCUGUGGGGGUUGAAAGCUCCGGCGGUGAAGGAUGGGCCCGCGGCCUAUCAGCUUGUUGGUGAGGUAACAGCUCACCAAGGCGACGACGGGUAGCCGGCCUGAGAGGGCGACCGGCCACACUGGGACUGAGACACGGCCCAGACUCCUACGGGAGGCAGCAGUGGGGAAUAUUGCACAAUGGGCGCAAGCCUGAUGCAGCGACGCCGCGUGAGGGAUGACGGCCUUCGGGUUGUAAACCUCUUUCAGCAGGGAAGAAGCGCAAGUGACGGUACCUGCAGAAGAAGCGCCGGCUAACUACGUGCCAGCAGCCGCGGUAAUACGUAGGGCGCAAGCGUUGUCCGGAAUUAUUGGGCGUAAAGAGCUCGUAGGCGGCUUGUCACGUCGGGUGUGAAAGCCCG